GUGGGGAAUAUUGGGCAAUGGGCGGAAGCCUGACCCAGCGACGCCGCGUGGGGGAAGAAGUCUUUCGGGAUGUAAACCCUUGUUGUACGGGACGAAGGAAGUGACGGUACCGUACGAGGAAGCCCCGGCAAACUACGUGCCAGCAGCCGCGGUAAUACGUAGGGGGCGAGCGUUGUCCGGAAUCACUGGGCGUAAAGCGCACGUAGGCGGGCUGUCAAGUCGGCCGUGAAAGGCACGGGCUCAACCUGUGCAUGUCGGUGGAUACUGUCGGUCUGGAGUAUGGGAGAGGGAACUGGAAGUCCCGGUGUAGCGGUGAAAUGCGUAGAUAUCGGGAGGAACACCAGUGGCGAAGGCGGGUUCCUGGCCCAUGACUGACGCUGAGGUGCGAAAGCCGGGGGAGCGAACGGGAUUAGAUACCCGGGUAGUCC
rnacentral:rRNA from 1 species